rnacentral:rRNA from 1 species
UACGGAGGGUGCAAGCGUUGCUCGGAAUUAUUGGGCGUAAAGGGCAGGUAGGUGGUCUUAUUUGUCUUAUGUGAAAGCCUUGGGCUUAACUCAAGAAGUGCGUAAGAAACGGUAAGACUAGAGUCCUAGAGAGGCUAGUGGAAUUCCCGGUGUAGCGGUGAAAUGCGUAGAGAUCGGGAGGAACACCAGAGGCGAAGGCGGCUAGCUGGAUAGGCACUGACACUCAACUGCGAAAGCGUGGGGGGCAAACAGG